AUCAUCUCCAAACUGCACUUGAUACCGUCGAUCUGUCGUUGUGUAAUGUCGAGUUAUCUAAUGUUAUUUUUCCCGUCUUGUCGACAAAAAGGACGAAGAACGAUUUAUAAAUUGACGGCUCAUAGAAGUCGACAAUAACAAGUGAAAUAUGAACAACAACAGCGAGCUUAUCAACCAGUACAAAGAAAGGGUGUUUUCCUGCUUUCGGUGGAUAUAUGGAAUGCAUGUCUCGCACUUUAUUGACUGGGCUGUCAGGUUUUAGUUUAGCAUUUGGUGGAACUUACAUAACCCAGCAUUUGUUAAUGAAGUACCUUCCAUAUGGUCGAAAACAUCACAUUAUAUGUUCAAGUUUAGUAGCUUGUGCUGUUGCUUACAAAGUGACAUCUUUGAGAGCUAAGUCUUGC